rnacentral:hammerhead_ribozyme from 1 species
AUCCAUCUGACGAGUCCCAAAUAGGACGAAACACGCGAGUCAAACUGAAU